rnacentral:rRNA from 1 species
CACCCCGUAAACGUUGGGAACUAGUUGUGGGGACCAUUCCACGGUUUCCGUGACGCAGCUAACGCAUUAAGUUCCCCGCCUGGGGAGUACGGCCGCAAGGCUAAAACUCAAAGGAAUUGACGGGGACCCGCACAAGCGGCGGAGCAUGCGGAUUAAUUCGAUGCAACGCGAAGAACCUUACCAAGGCUUGACAUAUAGAGGAAACGUGCAGAAAUGUACGCCCCGCAAGGUCUCUAUACAGGUGG